rnacentral:rRNA from 1 species
GGAGUACGAAGGUGCACUCGGUACGGUCGGAAAUCGUGCCAAGAGUAUAAAGGCAAAAGUGCGCUUGACUGCGUGAGUGACGGCUCGAGCAGGUACGAAAGUAGGUCUUAGUGAUCCGGUGGUCCCGAAUGGAAGGGUCAUCGCUCAUCGGAUAAAAGGUACUCCGGGGAUAACAGGCUAAUUCCUCCCAAGAGUUCUUAUCGACGGAGGAGUUUGGCACCUCGAUGUCGGCUCAU